CGUAGGUGGCAAGCGUUGUCCGGAAUUAUUGGGCGUAAAGAAUGCGUAGGCGGCUUUUUAAGUGGGAUGUGAAAUCCCUGGGCUCAACCCAGGAACUGCAUUCCAAACUGGAAGGCUAGAGUGUGGGAGAGGAAAAUGGUAUUCCCAGUGUAGCGGUGAAAUGCGUAGAGAUUGGGAGGAACACCAGUAGCGAAGGCGAUUUUCUGGAACAUAACUGACGCUGAGGCAUGAAAGCGUGGGGAGCAAACAGGAUUAGAUACCCUGGUAGUCCACGCCGUAAACGAUGAGUACUAGGUGUAGGGGGGUACCACCCCCUGUGCCGCAGUUAACACAUUAAGUACUCCGCCUGGGAAGUACGAUCGCAAGAUUA
rnacentral:rRNA from 1 species